UAGGAUGCGAGCGUUAUCCGGAUUUACUGGGUGUAAAGGGAGCGCAGGCGGUUUGAUAAGUUAGAGGUGAAAGCCCGUGGCUCAACCACGAAAAUGCCUCUAAUACUGUUAGACUAGAGAGUAGUUGCGGAAGGCGGAAUGUGUGGUGUAGCGGUGAAAUGCUUAGAUAUCACACAGAACACCGAUUGCGAAGGCAGCUUUCCAAGCUAUAUCUGACGCUCAUGCACGAAAGCGUGGGGAGCAAA
rnacentral:rRNA from 1 species